GAUGAAUUAAAACUAGUUAACAAGUGAUUAAAUAAGUCAAUUAUAUGUUAAAUAGUUGAUAAAUUGGAGGAAAAAAGUGUAGAAAAAAAUCACGAAAUUUGAACACUUAGUUUUUCUUUAUUUUGUGACCCAAAAAUUUGGCUAAGUGUUGAAAAGUGCAAACUUUACUCUUUGAUGUUGUUGUUCACGUGCUGUACAGACGUUCGUGGAAAAG
rnacentral:lncRNA from 1 species